UUUACUGAGAGUUUGAUCCUGGCUCAGGACGAACGCUGGCGGCGUGCCUAAUACAUGCAAGUCGUGC
rnacentral:rRNA from 1 species